AAUGAACGUUGGCGGCGUGGAUUAGGCAUGCAAGUCGAGCGAGAACCGUAGCAAUACGGGGACAGCGGCGAAAGGGAGAGUAAUACGUGGAUACCUACCCUCGGGUUCGGGAUAGCUGCGGGAAACUGCAGGUAAUACCGAAUAACAUCUCCGGAUCAAAGGUGUGAUUCCGCCCGGGGAGGGGUCCGCGUCCUAUUAGCUUGUUGGCGAGGUAACGGCUCACCAAGGCGAAGAUGGGUACGGGGUGUGAGAGCAUGCCCCCGCUCACUGGGACUGAGACACUGCCCAGACACCUACGGGUGGCUGCAGUCGAGAAUCUUCGGCAAUGGGCGCAAGCCUGACCGAGCGACGCCGCGUGCGAGAUGAAGGCCUUCGGGUUGUAAAUCGCUGUCAGUGGGGAGGAAAUGCCAUAGGGUUCUCUCUAUGGUUUGACCUAUCCGCAGAGGAAGGAUCGGCUAACUCCGUGCCAGCAGCCGCCGUAA
rnacentral:rRNA from 1 species